rfam:Felis catus isolate Cinnamon breed Abyssinian chromosome C2, whole genome shotgun sequence.
ACCUGGGUGGCUCAGUCAGUUGAGUGUCUGACUUCGGCCCAGGUCAUGAUCCUGUGCUUUGUGGGUUCAAGUCCCACGUCGGGCU